rnacentral:tRNA from 1 species
GUGGGUGUAGCUCAGCUGGUUAGAGCACCUGAUUGUGGUUCAGGGGGUCGUGGGUUCAAAUCCCAUCACUCACCCA